CCUACGGGAGGCAGCAGUGGGGGAUAUUGCACAAUGGGGGGAACCCUGAUGCAGCGACGCCGCGUGGGCGAUGGAGUACUCCGGUAUGUAAAGCCCUAUCAGCAGGGAAGAAAAUGACGGUACCUGACUAAGAAGCCCCGGCUAAAUACGUGCCAGCAGCCGCGGUAAUACGUAUGGGGCAAGCGUUAUCCGGAUUUACUGGGUGUAAAGGGAGCGUAGGCGGCCUGGCAAGCCUGAUGUGAAAUACCGGGGCCCAACCCCGGGGCUGCAUUGGGAACUGCCAGGCUGGAGUGCCGGAGAGGCAGGCGGAAUUCCUAGUGUAGCGGUGAAAUGCGUAGAUAUUAGGAGGAACACCAGUGGCGAAGGCGGCCUGCUGGACGGUGACUGACGCUGAGGCUCGAAAGCGUGGGGAGCAAACAGGAUUAGAUACCCCAGUAGU
rnacentral:rRNA from 1 species